rfam:Daphnia pulex DAPPTscaffold_136_Cont5517, whole genome shotgun sequence.
UCCCAUAUUGUCUAUUGGUUAGGAUACCUUGCUCUCACCCAGGAAGCCUGGGUUAAAUUCCCGGUAUGGGAA